rnacentral:tRNA from 1 species
GCGGUAUUAGUUCAUCGGUAGAAUGCGACCUUCCCAAGGUUGAGAGGUGGGUUCGAUUCCCAUAUACCGCU